ACUACACUCUUGGAGGCUCUAAAAGUAUAUCGGCAUUACAUAUAUGAGAUUAAAGAAUAACGUGCAUAAGGUCACAUAUCCUAGGCUGUACAGGACGUGAUAGUAGAGGAACACUGGAGGCAUGGACCACACUAUCUGCCAAUAAAUAAUGGUCAAAAGAAGCACGACAAACAUCGCAGCUUAGAGGAGCAAUGCCUUAAAAGGGGCUUAAGAGGUCCUGGUGUGAAAAAAGCUCUGGGGGAACCUCACAAACAAUGCGCCAAACAACACAGCACAGAUGUCAGGGAUUAAUUUGAAGAGUCGGUAACCAUCCAGAAUGAUUCAGCUCACUACUUCAAACCAAUUUCAAUACUCUCGAGUACCUUUUAUUCUGCUGAAGCCAGACAAAGCAGCGAGAAACAUUCCUGCCGUUGUGAAGAACAAAGUCAGGACGCUGAGACGGCACGUGGUACAGCCCCAUCCCUGACAGGGACGGCUGACUGAGGCGUCGGAGCUGACAGGACUCGCAGAGGGAUUUCACCCCGGGACCACAGAGGGCAGCUGCGCCCGUGUGACACGUCUUAUGGGGGGAUCAUUUGUAGCGGCGCUACGGCCUGCAUGCAGCUCGACUGAGCCUCCGUGGGCGACACUGCUGAGGCGUGGUGCAGCAGUACAGCAACGCGAGACAGAAUUCCACUUCAUUUUAAUCUGUGCCCACAGAGCCGGUCUCCUGGAGGACCAGAGAUGAGAAGCAGCUGCUGAGACCAGCUGUGGUGUCAGAACUUGGGACAAUUUCAAGCCUGGUGCACCACUGACGACCUUUCUACGGUGCAGACGACACCACUGCACCCGCGGCUUAUAGACCACUGCGGCUUAUGGAUGAACAAGAUGUAUUUUCCUCCUUAAAUUUAGUGGGUGUGGCUAAUAUUCCGGCGCACUCUAUAGCUCAUGGUACUUUCUUCUUCAUCGUGAGUGGAGGUUUCCUAUGGAAGAGGUUGGUAAUACCAUUUUUAUGUGACACCAAACCAGCCCUCGCAAUCCAGGUACAUUCAUAUUAAAAACCCUUCAUCUGUUGAACUCCUCAGACAGGAUUUGUUUGGUAAUUGAAGUGUCCUGGUGCUCUGGAGCCUGGAAACGUAAUCCAGCGCCAGAACCUGCCUGAUAUCAAAAAUGUUUCUGAACACACACACACACACACACACACACACAUCUCUAACACUGCCUGACACAGAAAAUGGCACUGCAGCUCUGUUAAGCUGUGACAUAUGAGGAUGUUUUCCUGAAGCACCUUCGCCCUGGAGGUCACUCUCGCUUGCUGAUAUGGGAAUUAAACCCUGACACCCAUGUGAUGGCCCUUAAAUCCUCACUCUUUCCAUUGUGCUUCUGUCCUCCAUUAAAGGGUUUCAGGUUAGAGACUGUUAUUUCCUGUCUGGCCUGAACAUCUGAGGCGAGUCUGGGCUCAACACCCACAGCAAGACUUCAACUGAAAACAACACACAGUGUUCAAGGUGUCAUUCCUUCCAAGUUCAACUCUGACUUGAGAACAGAGUUGGAACUCUGAUAAAUGACUUAAUGCUGGUGUUCCUGGAUCACCAUUGUGGAGGCCCUCACAACCUCCAAUAGACAGCCUUUGGAUCAGGGUCCCAGCUGGUCUCACCACCCUCGUCCAGGCCUACCCCAAGGACAUCCAGCUCAGCUUGUCAACAGCAGAGUCACCCUUGCCAUGGAGGUCAUCACCCAGGCCUGUCGCUGGGAUCAUGGUGGACAGCCGAUGAAACAAGGGCUGAGGUUGCCACUGGUCAGAGCUGACAUGGAUGAUCUCACCACCACCAAGGCUUGCACAGUACGACUACUUAGAAAACUCCAGGAAAACGUGAAACUGGCUGAAGGUCAUGUCAAGAGAAUCCAGAGGCAUUUCUGUCAUCAAGGGGAAACGCUUCUUCCUUGGUGAGGAAUUCCAACAGUCUCUGAGAAGCAUGUGAAGAGUCUAAGUUGUUGGCCUGACGCCUCCCUCAAAAGCUCUUUGGUCAUAAAUUGGUGAUUAUGAAUAAAGGCAA